rnacentral:rRNA from 1 species
UAUCUACAGGCUUAACACAUGCAAGUCGAGGGGCAGCAUGGUCUUAGCUUGCUAAGGCCGAUGGCGACCGGCGCACGGGUGAGUAACACGUAUCCAACCUGCCGUCUACUCUUGGACAGCCUUCUGAAAGGAAGAUUAAUACAAGAUGGCAUCAUGAGUCCGCAUGUUCACAUGAUUAAAGGUAUUCCGGUAGACGAUGGGGAUGCGUUCCAUUAGAUAGUAGGCGGGGUAACGGCCCACCUAGUCUUCGAUGGAUAGGGGUUCUGAGAGGAAGGUCCCCCACAUUGGAACUGAGACACGGUCCAAACUCCCACGGGAGGCAGCAGUGAGGAAUAUUGGUCAAUGGGCGAGAGCCUGAACCAGCCAAGUAGCGUGAAGGAUGACUGCCCUAUGGGUUGUAAACUUCUUUUAUAAAGGAAUAAAGUCGGGUAUGGAUACCCGUUUGCAUGUACUUUAUGAAUAAGGAUCGGCUAACUCCGUGCCAGCAGCCGCGGUAAUACGGAGGAUCCGAGCGUUAUCCGGAUUUAUUGGGUUUAAAGGGAGCGUAGAUGGAUGUUUAAGUCAGUUGUGAAAGUUUGCGGCUCAACCGUAAAAUUGCAGUUGAUACUGGAUAUCUUGAGUGCAGUUGAGGCAGGCGGAAUUCGUGGUGUAGCGGUGAAAUGCUUAGAUAUCACGAAGAACUCCGAUUGCGAAGGCAGCCUGCUAAGCUGCAACUGACAUUGAGGCUCGAAAGUGUGGGUAUCAAACAGGAUUAGAUACCCUGGUAGUCCACACGGUAAACGAUGAAUACUCGCUGUUUGCGAUAUACUGCAAGCGGCCAAGCGAAAGCGUUAAGUAUUCCACCCUGGGGAGUACGCCGGCAACGGUGAAACUCAAAGGAAUUGACGGGGGCCCGCACAAGCGGAGGAACAUGUGGUUUAAUUCGAUGAUACGCGAGGAACCUUACCCGGGCUUAAAUUGCAGAUGAAUUACGGUGAAAGCCGUAAGCCGCAAGGCAUCUGUGAAGGUGCUGCAUGGUUGUCGUCAGCUCGUGCCGUGAGGUGUCGGCUUAAGUGCCAUAACGAGCGCAACCCUUGUUGUCAGUUACUAACAGGUUCCGCUGAGGACUCUGACAAGACUGCCAUCGUAAGAUGUGAGGAAGGUGGGGAUGACGUCAAAUCAGCACGGCCCUUACGUCCGGGGCUACACACGUGUUACAAUGGGGGGUACAGAGGGCCGCUACCACGCGAGUGGAUGCCAAUCCCCAAAACCUCUCUCAGUUCGGACUGGAGUCUGCAACCCGACUCCACGAAGCUGGAUUCGCUAGUAAUCGCGCAUCAGCCACGGCGCGGUGAAUACGUUCCCGGGCCUUGUACACACCGCCCGUCAAGCCAUGGGAGCCGGGGGUACCUGAAGUGCGUAACCGCGAGGAGCGCCCUAGGGUAAAACUGGUGACUGGGG